CCAUACGGUCUAACAAAUGUCUUAUAGAAGCAAUAAUAAGUGUCAUAAUCCGUACUUCCCCAGCAUAACUGUAAGACGUUACCGCAUCCGUUUUAACUUUUAUAUGGUUUUAUAAGGGAAGCUGAGCAAGCCUGUCGCCAUUAUCACGAAGACCAGUAAUGACAGUAUAUUGACAGGAAAAAAACAGAUAAAUAGUGAAUACAGUUAUAAAUUAUAUAAAUUAUACUAUAAAUUAGAAUUCAGUCGACAAUAACACCUUGAUGAUCGAGAUUGCUUAGUCUGCAUAGUGGGGAUAUAGUUUCGUGAAAUCGAUAAAAUGCCUUUGGUUAGGAAAAGAGGCAGACAUUAUGCCCAUGUUACAUAUGAAAGAGGUACAGAUGCCCUUAAAGUUUUUGAUGAAGUAAAGAGCAAGAUACUGUCCCAUCUGGCAGCAAUACUGUAUGACACUGUAUGACCAAUUCACAGACAAUUUGACAAAGAAUAACAAUAGAACACCAACAAUUCACAUAUGAGACGAUGUUUUAUGGUGAAUGGUUAUAGUAAUUUAGACAAGCAAAACAUGCAUUAAAGACUGUCAGUGUUGCUUGGAUUUUCUCCAUAUGGUCAUUUAAGAAGAAAAUUGAUAGAGGAAAGAUACAGAUAUGCAAGAAUUUAAUAUUUGAAAUGCACUUAAUAUUUCUUUUGUAUAUGACCAUUAAAUUUUGGCAGUCAUUGUUAUCUCUGCUAUACAAACAAAUAUAUCUUGUAAAAUUUAUUCAUAAGAGGAAGCUUUAAUAACAAAUAUCUAACCACAUUAGAUAUUGUUUAUGCCCCAACUACAAUAGUAGAGGGGCAUUAUGUUUUCUGGUCUAUGUGUCCAUUCGUCCGCCCCUUUGUCCGUCUGUCCCUCUCCAGGUUAAAGUUUUUGGUCAAGGUAUUUUUUGAUAAAGUUGAAGUGAAAUCAACUUAGAACACAUAUUCCCUAUGAUAUUAUCUUUCUAACUUUAAUGCCAAAUUAGAUUUUUGAUCCCAUUUCACUGUCCACUGAACAUAAAAUAAUAGUGUGAGUGGGGCAUCCUUGUACUUAAUGGACACAUUCAUGUUUGCCAAUUUUUUAAUUAGUCUAAAACAAAUCUAAUUUUUUUUAUUCUGUGGGAUUCAAAAGAUUUUGUCAUUUGUGAUAAUUAUUUAUUUUGAAGUCUGAGAACAUUUCAUACAAAUUUCAAAUUCUAAAUAAGACAUCUAUACAGCACAUACUCCAUCAUAAAUUGUGUUAAUGAUAAUGUUGACUAUAUAUAUA